GAAUGUAAAGGCUAUCUGGCUGCGACAUCUGUCACCUCAUUGAUCGCCAGGGUUGACACGGCUGAUCUGGCUGGCUAGGUAGGUGUCCCCUUUCUCCCUCACCGCAGCUUCAGGAGGGAUGCUCCUGGAGCUGUGCUGCCCUGCUAGAACCUCAAAACAAGCUCUCAAGAAAAAAAAAAAAAAAAAAACAUAAUUCUCAAAAGUAUAACUUUUGUGAACACAUCAGAGAGUAGAUGUUAUAGGACAGCUGGGUAUAAAAUAGAAGGAAUGACAGUUAUUCUCAGGGUGAGCCAGGAUGAACACUGGCUCAGCCCUGG
rnacentral:lncRNA from 1 species